AGCACAGCUUGGGAGGAAUAGGAGGAAAUAUGUCUAUCGGCCUCUUUGAAACAUUUACCUUCUUUUCCUGCUAGGGCUGGUGUGUGUAGGGGAAUAAGGACUAAGACUAAGGCAGCAACUGAAAUGUGCUCGUGCCCUGUGAUAGGUUUCAUAUCAGAUGUUGCCCAUGUGUGUUGUUUGUGGCUCUGACCAAAAUUUGUGAUAGUCUCCAAAAACUUUGCAGUGUGCCUUGCUAGCGUUUCCCUGCUGUUUUUUUAGUAUGCACAGAGUGGAUCUUGAAGUAACAACAUUGGAAGUUAUUGAUAUUCAGUAGGUGUUUGCAUUAAAAAAAAAAAAAAAGCCAAAAUAAAUAGCAGUACACUUAGUUAUCUAUUUGCAAAAAAGUAAGCAGGAACAACUUGAUAUGCACAAUUCCUGACGCAGAAAAUUUCAUGAGGCCUCCUUGAUAGAGGAAGUACUCUAAGGUCUAAGAAUGUAUUACAGAGCAUCUCUUAAUGAGAUUCAAAAUCUUCUAGAAAUUGCCCAUUUUUAAAAAUUGCUGGAUAUGCUAUGAUAGAGAGCUUGAUUUAUGUCCAAUAACAUUAAUAAAGCCAUUUUCGAGCUUCAUUGGAAGCAGGAUCAAACUAAUUAUUUGCUGCUGGUUUUACAUCUGCAGUUCACUUUGGACUUGAUUUUCAGAGGUACUAAGCAUGUUCCCAUAACACACCAAUUUCAAAUAAUGCUUUGGGUGCUUGACACUUCAAAAAAUGAAGCUUCGUUAUCUAUAAAUUCAGUCAAAUUGAUAAUCCACAUUGGAAGUAAUGGAUUAAGCUAACAGAAUCUGCAAAUAAUUUGGAAGUGCUGAAUUAGUGCCUCUCCUGACAGUCGUGGAGAGGUGCCUUAUCUAGCCAGCCUUAUCCAUUUUUUCACCUCCUCUGACAACAGGCUGCCAGGCGUAGGUUGCUCUGCACAGCAGCAGCCUUCAGCUAAGGCACUUUCUGUCACCCGAAAAUAUAUUCAACGCUUGAAACUAGCCUAUUAUUAAUAAACACUGGCACAUCUCAGGGGUGGUAUUCAUCUUCAUGCUAUCCUCAUAUAAAUCUUCUUACUCUUUGUAUAUAAGUUCUCAAGGUAUUAAUAUUUUGUGUGCUUGGGAAUAAAAUAAUUGGAGUAAUAAAAAGAAUAUUCCUUAAUUUCUCCCUGUGAACACAAAUCUGAAACUGACCAGUGCAGAAACUGUGUAAAAUUGGAUAAUCAGAUUACAGAAAGAGCUGGAUGGGGAAUGGAGUUGGCAAUGGCAUUCAGCUUUCACUUAAUUGGCUCAAAUACAUUCCAAGCCAGUAGUUGCAGAGAGGCUUUACUGCCUGAAAGUUGUUUUGCAAAACCUGUGAAAUAAACAGCUCAUCUGUCAUGUUAGGAACACCAUGCACCACAGGAAAAAUACCAACACACAUAAUGCUGGCUGGUAUUGUAGAGGAAUUGUCAGGAGUUAAACCAGAGCUGACAAACAACAAAUGGGAUUUCAGGUACUUACAGGAGCCCUGAAUAUCUGGUUUCAAAUGAUGAUUGGCCUCAUACCUGACAUGAGCAAAAAGAAUGCAGAUGCCUCUGCAGAUAAAAAUAACCAUAUUUUGUUAUUUUAUACCAAAAAAAGGAGAAAAGUCAGCUAGAAAUUUAUACAUCUCUAACAAAAUUUUAGGUUGCAAUAACUGUUCCUCAUUUCUAAUGCUACAGACUCAAGUUCUGUUUCCAAUGUCUCCCAUGACUGCUGAAUAUUCUCCUAAAAUGAAGUUUGCAUUAACAUAGUAAGAGUUUAAAUGCUGUAUUUAAAACGUGUAGGUUUCUGCAUGCAACAAAAUGGAGAACUUAGGUGAGGUUUAAUAUGGAAAGCUGGGCAGACAUGAAGUUUAGAGCAAAAUGAUGUGUGUUGUUCCUGGCUGUUCAACAUAUGAAUCUGCAGGAUGCUAUAUGAAUAGAAACUAAAUGGAGAAAAGUUACCAAGUAAGGACAGAGAAUAAGGGAAUAAAAGAGACAGAAAAUGGCAAAAUGUAACAGGUUGCAUCUUGAUGUUAAAAUGAAAGCAAAGAUUUUACAUGCAUACAGUUUCCUGAAAAAUUCUACAAGUAUUAAGGACUUGUUUUUCAUGCUUAAUAUUGGGGUAAAAGUGACUUAAAUAGAUCUAGAUUUUCAGAGGUAAUUUUGGUAAAGAUGCACUUUCUUUUUUUCUCAGUUUCUUAACGCUCUCUUUUCAUGCUGUACAGGCAAGGAAGGAAAAUCCUUUGAACAUUCAGUUCUAGGUCUUCCUGUAGGCCUUUUGGCAUCCUUGCAAGGAAAUCUCACACCAGCCCCAGUUAAGUCUGGCUGUAGCAGAUUGCUCAGUAGGAAACCUCAGAUGUUAGACCUCCUCUUCCAGCUGAGAACUUGUGAACUCUGAGAUCAUCUUCUCUGUUCCUUGUGCUAUGUCUGUCUCACAAACAGGGAUGAGAACAUUCAGGCAGGAUUCCAUGCUGUGAUAUAUCCCUCGGAGUAAGAAAUAGCCUUCCCGACCCCAUUGCCUUCCUGAUGAUUCAGGGUUGUGCCAGGACUCCAGUUUCCACCAAAAUCUGUGAUGAUGGCAUUGGAAAUCUAAAGGUAUUUUGUUGAAAUUACCACUCAGUAUCAGAACUUUUACACCUGCUAUUUCUACUAGACACAGAUCAAUCUCAUUUCAGAAUAAUUACUGUUGGAAAAGACCACUAAGACCAUCUAAUUCAACUGUCAACCUCCACCACGUCCCUGGGCAGCCUGUCCCAAUGCCUCACCACCCUUUCUGAGGAGGAAUUUUUCCUAAUAUCCAUCCUGAACCUCUCUUGGUGCAUUGUGAGGCCAUUCCCUCUCAUCCUAUCGCUAGUUACCUUAAGAACAGCUGUCUGUAUUUAUAAGAGUUCCUUCUGAGGAAGUCUUGCUUAGCCAUGACAUGAGUGGUGAUCUGUGCACCUAAACCUGGAACAAAGGCACACCUUGAUGGUGGUUCUCCUCGGGCUGGGUACCUCAGAAGCAGCAGGACUUGAGCAGAUCAUUUCAUUUGCUAACAACAUCAUUUCCUGUUGUCUUGUGGUUUUUCUUCCUACCGAUAUUCUUAUGGGAAAACAAUAUGCAACAGUAUCCAAGUUACUUAGCAGGUUCCAAAGUUCUGAAAAAUGUGACAUCUGCACAGUUUUUAGUAGUCUCAUAAGACUGUUUGACUGAAUUUGCAAUGCAUAGCGUUACAGUAGCUAUCAGUCUCCGUCUAGAGAGGAUUUUAAAAAGCUAUGGGAUGCUAUAGACAACAGUGAGGUGACUGCAAUCAAAACAGUAGAGCACUGAAGUGAAUUUUAUCCUUUGCAAGCCGCUCUGUAAGCCAACAGAACGUAAACAAGUAGACAAAUAGUGAUGUCUCUCUCCCCUUUGUAUUAAGCUAUGUAGUACCUCUUGGAAGGCCCUGCAGCAGCAGAUGAUUGAUGCACGUAACAGUACAUUUCAUCCUGCACCCGGAGGACAUGAGCAAUUGCUGCGCCUUUGCUCUUCAUUUUAUAUAGCAUGCCCUACUCUUUGCUUCAUGCUUUUCAAGACGUUGAAUGUAAUCAAAACAGGAAUACCAAACUAGAGCAGAUAAUCUAGAAAAAUAUUUUAUGUAUUCUUCCUCUGCUUUUUAUUUAUUUAUUUAUUUUUAAUUUGGCCUCAAAUCAGUUUGUUUUCUUAUUUGAGCAGCCACCACGUUGGCAUUUAGAAGAAAAGACUGUUCACAUGAAGUCAGCCCCUGCAAUGAGUACGGAGAAGACAACACCAUGUUCUUAGGCUGAGAAGUGCUUGAAUAAAUGGCAUCAUUUAAAAAAAGAGUCUCUUUUGUCUAUAAUAAAAUAUUAAUUCAAUAUUUUGCAUUAGCUGUUCUUAUUUCCUUAUGUGCAGCAUUAUUUCUUACAGUUCUGGUAUAUUCUAAUAACUCUUCAAACUUAGGAGGGAAGACAUGCUUCUAAAAACUUCUUGCUAAUGGAGCAGUGAAAUUACAAGAUAGUCAUCUUAAUGCCACCGAGUUACAGCACUUUCCUGUUUACUAAAAUCGUUUGCUUUUCUUUUUCCAAAUGGCUUUGUUUUCCCCUUAGAUUUUCCAUCUCAGCAUGCUCUGCUGCAGAAAUAAACAAAUGAACACAAUGCUCUGGUGUGGCCCAAUCCUGGCUCUGCUUUAGCUGCCUCUGGGAAGUCUGCACGCUAUUUCAGCGCUCGGGUAUGUCAGCGCGAUUUCAGUAGGGUUGAGAUCCUUAAAGGAUAUCUGCCUAGGCCACUGUAUUAUUUAUGUCACUGUACAGCAAAACAAAUAAGGUGAGGCUUAAAACACAGGAAAAGAUAAUAGCAGGUCGUUUGUCAGCAGAGUUUUGAGAAGCCUAGUAAACUCUAACGUUUGAAAGAGCAUGGCACGUAUGUGGUGCUUCCAUGAAACCUUUUGUGGACUCCAGGCUAGCCCUGAUGACAGAAGAUUUUCCCCUCUUGGCAAAAUGAUCUGGUUUGCCUGGUGAUGUGGGAGCUGUGGCAAGGUGACCGGUCUCCUGAUGGUGAUGCAGGUGGUGAUGGUGGUAGUGGGGAAUGUUUCUUCCAGCCACUGAAUGCUGCUGCAGCCUGCAGUUGAGACCAGGUAAAAUGUUAGCCAUGCAAUGUGUUUUACAGUGGAAAACAUGUAUUUGCUUGCAUAUUUAUGACCAAUUUAUUCUCUGCUUUUUGAUUUCAUGUGUUGUGUUCCUGGGCAGGGCUUGUAACCACACACCCCCUGGCAGUUCUCCAGGCAUGAUUAACUGCUGCAUUUACUCAUCUCUGUGGAUGAAAGAAGCCUACCCAUACAAACUGCAGACCACUACGAAGUGCUAUUUAGCUAUUAGAGGGAUCUUCUACUUUGUUGAAAACUGAGCAACCAUACCAGCUGAGACCGGAGUCCCACCUCACCCCAUAUACUGUCUCAAACCUCUGGAAAUCACUAUGGAGAAAACUUCUACUGCUCAGCAACAGAAUGCCUGACAUAGCUGGGAACAAAACUGAGGAUAUUCUGUUUGCAGUCCUGUUGGUGCUGGUGUGGUGCUGUUCAUUUACACUUUAUAUAAAUGCUAUGAGUUCUGGCAUUUUACUGUAAUUUCAUUGAUCAUAGUCCACUACAGAGUUCAAACCUAAAAUCUUUUAUUAUAUGAGCUUUUAUUUUCUAAUAUAUUCUUCGAUAUAUUUUAUUCAAAACUGUGAUUUCAAGGUCAUUACUAUAGCAUCAGAAAGAAAGUCUUCAGCAGUGCAUAGAAAACAUGAAACUAAAUUAAACUAAACUAAGUGAAACUGAAUUGCUGCCAAGGGCAGAAAAUGGCCAUCCUAUACUUUGGCGCCGAAGUGGGUAGAGGAGUAAAUCACAGAAUCAUAGAAUGGCGUGGGUUGGAAGGGACCUCAAAGAUCAUCUUUGUUCAAAUGCCCCUUCCAUUGGCAGGGUUGCCACUGACUAAAUGAGGCACCAGCUCGGGCUGCCCAGGGCCACAUCCAACCUGGCCUUGAACACCUCCAGGGACUGGGCAUCCAAAUCAGGUCUCUUUCAGCUCAAAAACAAGGAGAUAUUUGAGAUGGAGGAAGGCAAGAAGGAGUUUUCAGUUCUUUAAGGGGUCCAGAGUAGCUGGAGUUAGAGAUGUUUAGUUAGAGAUAUUUUUCGAGAAAAAUGCAAAUUUGGGAUUAGAUCCUCAUAGGAGAUACAGGACUUCACUGCAGACAAGCAAGCCAGAGGCACUGAUGGUAAUGGUGCUUGAGCUGGAGACAAUCCCCUGGCCACCAGCAUGGACACUGCUGUGUCCCCAAGCUGAUGUGUAGGGGACACAUUUCAGAUACCCAGCUCUGAGUUCCCACAGUAGACUUGACCCUGCACUUCCCACCAGCUCAUAGGGAAUUUAGAGCAACCCCAUGGCUCUGGAGAAGCCGCUCCAGAACUGAAGGCAAGUUGGAUCCUGCCUGUCUUCUCCCUGGUGUGGAUGCUCAAGUGGUUGAUUUUCACUGGAAUUCAUUGUUUUGAGACUUCUCCCUUGCUUCAACACCUUGUUGAAAUUGGCCGAGUGCUCUGCCACGUACUAUAACAGAACCCUGUGAUACACUUUGAUAGACAUAAAUGCUUGCUGUAUGUUUUAUAAUUUUUCUUCUUUAAAGCCUUUUUUUCCCCCACUGCUUGUAGUUUCAAGGAGAACUGCGUGCUGCAGGCAGGUGAGUGCUGCCAGGAUGAGAAAGUUUCUUGCAGUAUUCCUUUCCUCUUAAAUGCAGAAACUUCUGAAGGACGUUUUUUCUGCAGAGCUCCCUGCUCAGAGAUCGGAAUUAAAUCCAGGAAAUAUAAAUAAAUAAAGCCUAAAGAUCAUCCCCACCAGAAAGAAAUGAAAACAAAGACGUUCUAUAGCCACGGAAAAUGCAAAAGACUGAAAUAAUUCCUCACUGCUGUGGAUGCCAGGUCGUGCUGCAAGGGGAUGGAUUUGGCUCUGAACCCGAACUGCCAGCACACAGCCUCCUGGGGCCUGGGGCUGUUGCAGUGGUUCAGUGCUGCUGCAAACCACUCCUGGGAACUGCGCUUUCCUCCGCUGAGUAACUCUGCAGCAGUGCAAUACUAUAUUUAAUCAAUUCAGGUGUCUUAAAAUACUUCCGUGCCCAGCAGGAACGUCACUGCACAGACCCAGAGAUCAAACAAAUGUGUGCUCGGUGCCCAUUCAGAAAGCUGACAUUCUUUUAGGACAACAGAAAGCAGGGAGCAGAAAGAAGAGAAAAGAAUGAGCAUAUUGCAUCAGGCUCUUCCAUUCUGGGAGGUGAUAAAACUCUGGGGAACAUUUUUUCCCCCCUUUUUAUUUAUUUUUUCUUGAUGCUCUUCAUCUCUAUUUCAAUUUUGGCAAACAACAGUCUUAGAUGUAGCAGUAACUUUAAGUGACCUCAUGUUUGUCUCAGAAAGACAAUAGAGCAAUAAAAUCAGUGAAUGCAGAAGUUUUAUGGGUAUCACAUCAACAAUUUCCUUCAUUUCUCAUGGUGCAAUUGAGAUUGAGAACUUUCCCAUAAAUGAGACACACUUAGUGAAGCGAGACACAUCCUUGCAAGAAUCCCAUCACAAUACUAAUAUUUAAAAAAUGUAGAUCUUCAACCUAAAGUGGAGCACCUCCAGCUGGCUCAACGUUUUGCUUUCUACUUGUGAACAGAUGCUCUCAAGACUGGGCUGGCUGGAGCCCUGUGCAGCUGGGUCUGGUGGGGGCAGCCCUGCACAUGGCAGUGGGGUUGGAACUGGAUGGGCUUGAAUGUCCCUUCCACCCUAACCACUCUGUGAUUCUAUUACAGCAGUACCUUGGUGAUAGUGACCAUUAUAAAGUCAUAGCUAACAGCUAACCAAGUUUUGAAAUACAUAACUUUACAUGAAGAUGAUAUUGGAAAGGGAUUCCUUUUGAUAAUCCCACUGAACAGGGAAGAUGGUACUUUCAGCAUCCUGAUAACACCUAAAUAGCAGAAUCUCCCAAACAGGACCUCCACAGCAGCAUCUGAAACAAUCUCAAAGCAUUUUUUUUUUUGUAUUGUUAUAAUAAUACUUUCAGUAUAAUAUUUCUGAACAUUAAAAAAGAAUCUUCUAAAGUAACCCCACUUCAGAGUAAUCACCGUUGUUUGCUGUAUAAAAGCACACUGCUGAGGAGCUCUUGGCCCAAGUGCCAUACGAGUAGUGGCAAUGAACAAGUCCUUGGCACUGCUGCAAGUGAAAAAUUAAAAGCUGGAAUACUGUAGUUAACGUUAUGAUUGUGAACUGAGCUGCCAUUAUUGUAGCUGCUAUAUGUUACUCAAAGGCAUGCAGGACAUCGAGGCACAUACUUUUAUUUCUGGCGCAUGAAGUCAAAUGCCAUUCACAAAUUCCUCCCACAAAUAUCUUCAGUGGAGGGGCAAUAAUUUGCACUAAUCCUUGGGAAACCCAAUCGGAGCUCAUUAAUUCUGCAAUUUAGCAAGGAGCGGGCAGCUUCAGCAUGAAAGAGCAGAAAUCCCUUGGAAUAACCUCACUACAGUUUGCUUUCAGGACACAAAAUGGUAUUGACCAACUUUUGCUGCUAGUGCUUAGCAGAAGAGUGAAACCUAAUUGAAUUAAGACACCAUAACAACAAACACUCCAACCAAAAACACAGUUUGUAUGCUGGAUUUUCAGGACUGCGCUCAGUCCAUCAUUUAAGGCAACGCUUGGCAUCACUGCAACUGUAGUCUGGGCUGCUGAAUCAGCCCUGCAUCCCGUGCUGUUACAGACCUUCUGCAUGGUUUGGGGCAGGUUAUUUCCCCCGCCAUCUCUUGCCUGUCUUAUCUGUUUAGGUCAGUAAAUCUCCAGGACAGAAUUUCUCACGCAAUGUGUCUGGCGGGUGAAAGCCCAACUGAAUUCUGGCUCAGCUGCAGCCCCCAUGCAUUGCUAUGGUACAGAUGAUAACGCUCCCUCUUAGCACAGGCGUGGAUGCAGCAGAACCAAAGGCUCGGUAAUGGGAUCUCCCUCUAAAGCAUCUGUUCUAAAACCUCAGAGAUGGGCGAGCUGCCAAUUUGUAAUUUAUUAAGAUUAGCAAGUAUGAAGUUUGGAAGAAUAUUUAUUAAUGAUGUUCUAUUGCAGAUCGAGGUCACGUUUAAGUGGGAUUAUGCAACUCCAUAGAUGCUGGGUUGAUGAGUUAUUGUGGGGUUUUUUUUGGUGAUGGCAGGAUUGUUUGGUAUUUUUUUUUUUUUGUCUUCUUUUUCUUUUUCUCUGGAAAUCAGUGCAGACAAAGCUAUAUGCUUCAGGACAGAAAGGUCAAGUUCAGCCCGUCCACUUUCCAGCCAGAAGCGGCGGCUGCUUGGGAACACAAAGUAUAGGAAAACAGAAACUGCACCUCUAGCUGAUUCCAUUUUAAACAUCACCUGUAAAAUAAAACUCAAACCAAGAGCACAAAGCCUGGUUUGUCCGAGAAAACGUGACAGUCCCACAGAAGAAAGCAGCCCCUUCCUGGCCGACGGAUGUACCCUGAUGGAAACCACCCGAGCCGGCAAACACCGGGAUGCCUCACCGCGAAGGGAGGAAGGCGGGGAUGCCGGGGCACGGCUGGCGCCCGGUUAACGCAGCUCCCAGCUCUGCAGCAGCCGCGCUCCGCCCUGGCUGCCGGGGCAGCCCGCGGGCAGCUCCCAUCGCGAGCGCGUAGGGCCGUUCGUGGAGCUCUGAGUCACGCGAACCAAGCGCUCCGCUGAUGCAGCUAUUAGGAUGCCUGAUAAAUAUUUAUAGCCCCUCACCGCGGAGCUGAUUGACAGCACGGGGGCAAUCCCUACCGGCAGCCGCAGGCAGCCGCCUCGGGGACGGGAG
ensembl:lncRNA